rnacentral:piRNA from 1 species
UUUAAAAAACUUGAGCAUUGA